rnacentral:rRNA from 1 species
AGGGGGGACGGAGAAGGCUAUGUUGGCCGGGCGACGGUUGUCCCGGUUUAAGCGUGUAGGCUGGUUUUCCAGGCAAAUCCGGAAAAUCAAGGCUGAGGCGUGAUGACGAGGCACUACGGUGCUGAAGCAACAAAUGCCCUGCUUCCAGGAAAAGCCUCUAAGCAUCAGGUAACAUCAAAUCGUACCCCAAACCGACACAGGUGGUCAGGUAGAGAAUACCAAGGCGCUUGAGAGAACUCGGGUGAAGGAACUAGGCAAAAUGGUGCCGUAACUUCGGGAGAAGGCACGCUGAUAUGUAGGUGAAGCGACUUGCUCGUGGAGCUGAAAUCAGUCGAAGAUACCAGCUGGCUGCAACUGUUUAUUAAAAACACAGCACUGUGCAAACACGAAAGUGGACGUAUACGGUGUGACGCCUGCCCGGUGCCGGAAGGUUAAUUGAUGGGGUUAGCGCAAGCGAAGCUCUUGAUCGAAGCCCCGGUAAACGGCGGCCGUAACUAUAACGGUCCUAAGGUAGCGAAAUUCCUUGUCGGGUAAGUUCCGACCUGCACGAAUGGCGUAAUGAUGGCCAGGCUGUCUCCACCCGAGACUCAGUGAAAUUGAACUCGCUGUGAAGAUGCAGUGUACCCGCGGCAAGACGGAAAGACCCCGUGAACCUUUACUAUAGCUUGACACUGAACAUUGAGCCUUGAUGUGUAGGAUAGGUGGGAGGCUUUGAAGUGUGGACGCCAGUCUGCAUGGAGCCGACCUUGAAAUACCACCCUUUAAUGUUUGAUGUUCUAACGUUGACCCGUAAUCCGGGUUGCGGACAGUGUCUGGUGGGUAGUUUGACUGGGGCGGUCUCCUCCUAAAGAGUAACGGAGGAGCACGAAGGUUGGCUAAUCCUGGUCGGACAUCAGGAGGUUAGUGCAAUGGCAUAAGCCAGCUUGACUGCGAGCGUGACGGCGCGAGCAGGUGCGAAAGCAGGUCAUAGUGAUCCGGUGGUUCUGAAUGGAAGGGCCAUCGCUCAACGGAUAAAAGGUACUCCGGGGAUAACAGGCUGAUACCGCCCAAGAGUUCAUAUCGACGGCGGUGUUUGGCACCUCGAUGUCGGCUCAUCACAUCCUGGGGCUGAAGUAGGUCCCAAGGGUAUGGCUGUUCGCCAUUUAAAGUGGUACGCGAGCUGGGUUUAGAACGUCGUGAGACAGUUCGGUCCCUAUCUGCCGUGGGCGCUGGAGAACUGAGGGGGGCUGCUCCUAGUACGAGAGGACCGGAGUGGACGCAUCACUGGUGUUCGGGUUGUCAUGCCAAUGGCACUGCCCGGUAGCUAAAUGCGGAAGAGAUAAGUGCUGAAAGCAUCUAAGCACGAAACUUGCCCCGAGAUGAGUUCUCCCUGACCCUUUAAGGGUCCUGAAGGAACGUUGAAGACGACGACGUUGAUAGGCCGGGUGUGUAAGCGCAGCGAUGCGUUGAGCU